CACAAUCUUGCACCCUAGAAGCUAGAAACGAUAGAUUUAUUUUAGUUUCGGAGAUAGAAAAGGUUUUGCAGGUCUCCAUGGUAGGAUGUGAUAGUAAAAGACACUCGACACUAUACGCCGGAAUCCCAUGAUACGCUGAUAAGUCUAGGGCAAAUCAAGCUACUCUUGAUAAGGUACGUGAGGUGAGUUCACGUCCGGAAAGAGCUGGAUUGGGAGCAGCAUGGCAAAUUCAAAUGUUGGCAGUGGGUAUGUUUAUGGAGCUGUAAUAAAGAAGACAUGCUUCUUUCAUAGGCUUUGCAUGAUUUAGUGCUAAGGAUUAGGAUGAGCUUUUUUGUAUCUAUUAUUUUUUGAGUUUCUUUGACCCUGCUAAUGCAGUUGUCCUUGACAAUUGUUGCUCAAUUUUGUUCACACAAUACUAUAUUAUGUUAAUUUGGUUUGAAA